GACGAACGCUGGCGGCGGGCUUAACACAUGCAAGUCGAACGGAAAGGCCCUGCUUUUGUGGGGUGCUCGAGUGGCGAACGGGUGAGUAACACGUGAGUAACCUGCCCUUGACUUUGGGAUAACUUCAGGAAACUGGGGCUAAUACCGGAUAGGAGCUCCUGCUGCAUGGUGGGGGUUGGAAAUUUUGGGCGGUUGGGGAUGGACUCGCGGCUUAUCAGCUUGUUGGUGGGGUAGUGGCUUACCAAGGCUUUGACGGGUAGCCGGCCUGAGAGGGUGACCGGCCACAUUGGGACUGAGAUACGGCCCAGACUCCUACGGGAGGCAGCAGUGGGGAGUAUUGCACAAUGGGCGGAAGCCUGAUGCAGCAACGCCGCGUGCGGGAUGACGGCCUUCGGGUUGUAAACCGCUUUCGCCUGUGACGAAGCGUGAGUGACGGUAAUGGGUAAAGAAGCACCGGCUAACUACGUG
rnacentral:rRNA from 1 species